rnacentral:sRNA from 1 species
UUUCACCACUCUCAUCCAUCGGCUAAACAACUCCCGUUUUCUUAUCGACUGCCGGGCAGAACUAACUGUGAUGUGCUUCGAAGGCACGAACCAACACGGUCAAGCAGAGGAAGAAUGAUCUGAGAGUGGGAGGCUAGAACGCCUUGCCCGCUUUGUUGAUUAUGACUUGAAGGUCUAUUCCCUUGGGGAUCGAGAUGCUGGCAACACGGCAAUGGAGCCCCCUUCUUAACAUGAAGCUGGCGGACUGAUGCUUGGAAAGAUGUCUGGAAUGGUUUGGUAAGGGUUGGAGAGAAUGUAAUGAAAAAGGCGCGAUGAUUUUUGGAGGCGGGUUUAAGCCGUUGGUCUUAUCAACAGGAGGCUUGGUGAGCAGCGAGACAGCAGAUGAGUGGAAGAGUUGGAGGAAGGCGACACCAGAGGCAGCGUUUUGAUGGACGCAGAAGAGAAUUACUAUUGAGCUGGUGAAGGCGAGAGCAAGAAUUUCCAUGAUCUAGUUAAGGAGGAACAUUAAACGAGGAGGAAUGCGAGUAAAUUUACUUUGUUUAUACCGAUCUGAUAAAGCAGACACCGACUACAUGUACUCUAUAUCACCCC